GAUGAUAAUCCUACUUGCAUCAUGUGUUACAUACAUUUUGUGGAAAAGGGAACUGUGUCAGUAAUAUGUUGAGCUGACUUCAUUGCCCUCUGUAGUGCUUUGUAGUCCUGAGCUGAGCAGGUGCUGCACCACAAUGGCAUACAGUAAAUGAGUAUGGAUUCCUUUUUGCACAGGAAGAAGUUGGUGAGAUGUUUCAGCUUUCUUCAGAACAUCUGAGGAAGUAGAGGUGUUGGUGAAAAGGCCUGAUGGUUAUCGAUCACCUCAAAGAUAAUUGACAUGGACCAGACAGGGGUUGGAUACCAGGCAAGGACAGCUCCAUCCUUUCCAACUGUCAACAUGGAGAGGCCUGGAAGUCUUGCCUCUGAUUAUUAAAAUUGUGAUGUCAUUGAAAGCCCAAUGUUGCUGUAAGAUCAUAUAUGAUCCAAAAACUAAGGUAAGAUUUUUUCUGUCUCUCUUUUCUAUUGUAUCAUGGCACAAAAGUAAACUUGUU